GAGGAAUAUUGGUCAAUGGACGUAAGUCUGAACCAGCCAAGUAGCGUGCAGGAUUGACGGCCCUAUGGGUUGUAAACUGCUUUUGUUGGGGAGUAAAGUGGGGCACGCGUGCCUUUUUGCAUUUACCCUUCGAAUAAGGACCGGCUAAUUCCGUGCCAGCAGCCGCGGUAAUACGGAAGGUCCAGGCGUUAUCCGGAUUUAUUGGGUUUAAAGGGAGUGUAGGCGGUUUGUUAAGCGUGUUGUGAAAUUUAGAUGCUCAACAUUUAACUUGCAGCGCGAACUGGCGAACUUGAGUGCACACAACGUAUGCGGAAUUCAUGGUGUAGCGGUGAAAUGCUUAGAUAUCAUGAAGAACUCCGAUUGCGAAGGCAGCAUACGGGAGUGUAACUGACGCUUAAGCUCGAAGGUGCGGGUAUCGAACAGGAUUAGAUACCCUGGUAGUCCGCACAGUAAACGAUGGAUGCCCGCUGUUAGCGCCUGGCGUUAGCGGCUAAGCGAAAGCAUUAAGCAUCCCACCUGGGGAGUACGCCGGCAACGGUG
rnacentral:rRNA from 1 species